CACUCAUAGGAAAAUUAAAACACAGGAAAGCAGCUGGAUCAGCUACUGCCUUUCACUACAGUUACCAUUUUAGGUUAUGGAUCAAGGUUGAACUGUACAGAGAGAGUGCAGCCACAAGGCUCUGGCUGUGCCGGGCCUCCCACCAGCCUGGGCCCCAAAGCAGCCCCAACUGUGCCUGGGUCUCCUCCAUCCUGGGCCCCAAAGCAGCCCCAACUGCGCCCGGUCCUCCUCCAUCCUGGGCCCCAAAGCAGCCCCAACUGUGCCUGCUCCUCCUCCAUCCUGGGACCAAAGGCAGCCCCAACUGUGUCUGGUCCUCCUCCAUCCUAGGCCCCAACUGCGCCCAGGCUGUGCCUGGGCUCCCUUCUGUCUGGGCCCAGACAAGGCCUCACCUGUGCCUGGUCCAGCCCGGGCCCCAAAUCUGCCCCAUCUGUGCCAGGCCCCACUCCAGCCCAAGCCCCAAAGCCACCCCAACUGUGCAAGGCCCAUCUCCAGCCAAGGCCUCAAAGCAGCUCCAAAUGUGCCAGGCCCCCCUCCAGCCUGAGCCCCAAAAGCAGCCCCAAGUGAGCCUGGUUCUCUUCCAUCCUGGGCCCCAAAGCCCUGGCUGUGCCUGGGCCUUCUUUUGUCUGGGCCCAGACGAGGCCUCAACUAUGCCAGGCCGCCUUCCAUCCUGGGCCCCAAAGCAGCCCUAACUGUGCCUGGUCCUCCUCCAUCCUGGGCCCGAAAGCAGCCCAUACUGGGUCUGGUCCUUCUUGAUCCUGGGUCGCAAGGCCCUAGCUGUAACUGGGCCCUUUUUGGUCUGGGCCCAGAGGAGGCCUCAACUCUGCUAGGCCCGACUCCAGCUCGGGCCCCAAAAGCAGCCCGAACUGCGCCCGGUCCUCCUCCAUCCUGGGCCCCAAAGCAGCCCCAACUGUGCCUGGUCCUGCUUCAUCCUGGGCACCAAGAGCCUGGCUGUGCCGGGGCUCCCUUUGGUCUGGGCCAAGAGCAGGCCUCAACUGUGCCAGGCCCCCCUCCAGCCCAGGCCCCAAAGCAGCCCCAACUGCGCCCGGUCCUCCUCCAUCCUGGGCCCCAAAGCAGCCCCAACUGUGCCUGGUCCUGCUUCAUCCUGGGCACCAAGAGCCUGGCUGUGCCGGGGCUCCCUUUGGUCUGGGCCAAGAGCAGGCCUCAACUGUGCCAGGCCCCCCUCCAGCCCAGGCCCCAAAGCAGCCCCAACUGUGCCAGGCACCUUUCCAGCUCGGGCCCCAAGGCAGCCCCAACUGUGCCUGGUCCUCCUCCAUCCUGGGCCCCAAGAGCCUGGCUGUGCCGGGGCUCCCUUUGGUCUGGGCCAAGAGCAGGCCUCAACUGUGCCAGGCCCCCCUCCAGCCCAGGCCCCAAAGCAGCCCCAACUGUGCCAGGCACCUUUCCAGCUCGGGCCCCAAG
ensembl:lncRNA